rnacentral:misc_RNA from 1 species
AGUAUUCUGAAGAUAAGGAAUGGAUUAUUCAUGAAAUUACUUUGUGAUAAGAAUUAUUGUUUUUGUAUAUAGAUAACAUAUCAUUGAAACAGGAACAAUACUUGGGUAUGAUUUAAUAUGUUACACAAUGUAACUUCAUAUUUGUACUUGAUGAGUAAUGAACUUUAUUUUAACAAUUUAUUAUUCAUUUAAUGCGAAUGCAUAUUACUAUAAUGUUGAUUUAUAUAUCUGUAAAUGUACAAUACAAAGGAAGGAGUAUAAUCAACGAAAAGCUACAGAACUUUCCGUACCUCGUCAUUGAGACUCUAGAGACCUCUUACCAUUUCAACGUUAUUUCUGAUAUUACCACAGACGAAGUACAGAACCGAUCUAUAUUUCGUCGCUGAUAUUACUGAUUCAGGUUAAUUAAGGAUAAGGUAGAUUAGAAACUGGAGAAAUAGAAAAUACAAUUUACCGUUCGUAGAUAACAUCGUUAUCUAUGAACGAUCGGUAUUACAGAAUGUGCGACUCACACGCAAAGAUUAAAAUCACUAGCGAUGUUUUUAGUUCUAGGCUUCAUUGUUAGAUGAUGACACUGUACAAUUAUUUCCCAUAUUUCAUACGAUAUUACAUGUAAUAAUUAAGAUUAAACAUUUAAGAGUAUACAAGUUAUAUUACAGAUGUAGAUGAAGGAGAAAUUAAAUUAACUUAUACGUAUAAAAAUUGUAACCACCAAUAUAUCUUUAAUAUAAAACAUUAGUAUUUUUAAUAAUAUGUAAUAUGUAUAUUAUCCAAUAUAUAAUAUGUAAUUUGGAGUAUUCGUUUAAAUUAUAUCUUCAUCGGUGAAAAUCAUUUUUCUCACUUUUUCCGAGUCGCGACAUGUUUAACAUUCGAAAAUCUUGUCCUCGAUUGAAUGUUAGUCGAUACAUUCUUAUUCAGCUUUUCAAUUUCCCUGCAGAGUCUUUGAUAUUUUGUAAAAUGCGGGACCUUUCUCCCACUUUUCACUAUACUUACUUCGCCAUAAUUUUCACGGUUCCUUCACUUUUAUUUUCUCUCUAAUCUGAAUUUGACCUAUAUGCAAAUUAACAAAACACUUGUAAA